ensembl:lncRNA
UGUAUAUGUGUGUAUAUAUAUAUAUAUAUAUAUAUAUAUAUACGUGUAUAUGUAUACGUGUAUAUGUAUACGUAUGGUAUGUAUAUGUAUACGUAUGGUAUAUAUAUGUAUACGUAUGGUAUAUAUAUGUAUAUAUAUGUAUGGUAUAUGUAUAUAUACGUAUGGUAUAUAUAUGUAUAUAUAUAUAUAUGUAUGUGUGUAUAUGUAUGUAUGUAUGUAUGUAUAUGUGUGUAUAUGUAUGUAUGUAUGUAUGUGUAUAAUAUACUACAUAAUUUUUUUUUUAAAUCAGGUCAAAAUCUAAAAGUGGAAAUACAAUAUAAUUACAGCUGUAACUGAAUUAUGUUAUAGUUAACUAAUUUAUAGCAAAACUUUUCAGUUUAAUGUUGGAUUCUGAAUAGCUCAACAUUUGCAGAUCAAAUCCAAAUUUUAUCAUUAAUUAAUUUAUUUUAAAUACUCUUAGUUUAUAUUAACAACAUUAGCGUUCCAUUAAAAUAAGGCAGAUAUAGGAAAUUUUCUAACAUGUAUUUUUCUGGAAUAUACAACUAGUACACUAAGAGCUGAGAAGUCCUUUUUACAUACCUACAUGUUCAGCUGCAUCAGUUAUACAAGAUGGCCAGAAAAAAAAAAAAUCUUUGAUACUGGUGAGUUGUUUACAGUGCAUAUGGGCUUAUGAAUGCACCUCCUGUAAGACUAUACAGAGAGAGCAAGAAACACAUCACACGUUGAACACUUUUAAGAGUGUAAAAUUUCCUGGGUCCAUGGUAUUUCAAAUGCUAAACAGAAAACUUUGCCUAUUGUUUGAUUUCAAAUUCUUUUGUAACACUGUUUUUGCACAUACACCCCACCCUUGUGCUUGUAAGAAUGCAUUUGCAUCUUAUAUUAGCCAGUCUCGAACCUGCCAGCUCGCUAGUACAAAGUCCAUGUGAAGUGGAUUGUGCCGUUGUGUGAAUACUGUAGGUAAUAUUCUAGUGUAAUCAUUGCUAGAGUAUCUCCAGCAGGUGUAAAAGCAGGCUAUUUACAAAUGCAUACUACAUGUAUACAUGUAUUUGCCCAGGUGUAUAUAUAUGAGAAAGUACAACUGUGGAGAACAUCCCAAACUAAUUCUCUGAAUUUACGUGUGAAAACAGCUGUAACUAGUAACUUUACAAUUUACUCUGAAGAAGGUGGGAAUUAGAGAAUUUGUUUCUUCCUCAGUUUGUGAUGGUUAUGUAAUUUUUUUUUCUACCCGGAUUUGUCUGUAAACCGUAUUUGUGAAUACAUUAACACAAUCAAUAAAGAUUUUUUUUCUAUAAAGUAGCAUUUUGUGUUGGCAGUAUACUUUCGCUCAUCGCUAUCCUGAAAGACGAACUAAUGCCCCAUUUUCACGUCUAACCAGUUUCUCUGAGGACUCGUGUUUGUAGCAUUCAUCUUUCCGUCAUUCUGGCCACUUACCACAUCACUGAUGGUCAGAACCAGCUUCAAAACAUAAUGUUGCCAUUACAACGUGAAGAAUGGUAUUGCCAAGGAGUUCAAUGGAGUACCUGUAAUUCAGCUCAAAAACAUGAACAUCUCAUAUCUUAAAAUAUUUUUUCUCUUACUCUUUUAAACAGUUGGAUUAACUUCAAACAGGCUGUAGUUGAUGAGAUGGCUCCUCUUGUGGCAGGUUUUUCUGUCUUUGCAGAAGUUUUAUGUUCUCGGUCACCCUUCUUGCUCAGUUACUCAAUUCUAAAAUUGGUAAACACUAUGAAGAC